AGCGAACGCUGGCGGCAGGCCUAAUACAUGCAAGUCGAGCGCACCUUCGGGUGAGCGGCGGACGAGUGAGUAACGCGUGGGAACGUGCCCUUUGGUACGGGAUAACUGAGGGAAACUUCAGCUAAUACCGUAUGUGCCCUACGGGGGAAAGAUUUAUCGCCAUUGGAGCGGCCCGCGUUGGAUUAGGUAGUUGGUGGGGUAAAGGCCCACCAAGCCGACGAUCCAUAGCUGGUCUGAGAGGAUGAUCAGCCACACUGGGACUGAGACACGGCCCAGACUCCUACGGGAGGCAGCAGUAGGGAAUCUUGCGCAAUGGGCGAAAGCCUGACGCAGCCAUGCCGCGUGAAUGAUGAAGGUCUUAGGAUUGUAAAAUUCUUUCACCGGGGAAGAUAAUGACGGUACCCGGAGAAGAAGCCCCGGCUAACUUCGUGCCAGCAGCCGCGGUAAUACGAAGGGGGCUAGCGUUGCUCGGAAUUACUGGGCGUAAAGGGCGCGUAGGCGGAUGUUUAAGUCGGGGGUGAAAGCCCGGGGCUCAACCUCGGAAUUGCCUUCGAUACUGGACAUCUUGAGUACGGGAGAGGUGAGUGGAACUCCGAGUGUAGAGGUGAAAUUCGUAGAUAUUCGGAAGAACACCAGUGGCGAAGGCGACUCACUGGCCCGUUACUGACGCUGAGGCGCGAAAGCGUGGGGAG
rnacentral:rRNA from 1 species